UACGGAGGAUCCAAGCGUUAUCCGGAAUCAUUGGGUUUAAAGGGUCCGUAGGCGGUUUGGUAAGUCAGUGGUGAAAGCCCAUCGCUCAAGCGGUGGAACGGCCAUUGAUACUGCCAGACUUGAAUUAUUAGGAAGUAACUAGAAUGAUGUAGUGUAGCGGUGAAAUGCUUAGAGAUUACAUGGAAAUACCAAUUGCGAAGGCAGGUUACUACUAAUGGAUUGACGCUGAUGGACGAAAGCGUGGGUAGCGAACAGG
rnacentral:rRNA from 1 species